rnacentral:rRNA from 1 species
UAACUGAAGAGUUUGAUCAUGGCUCAGAUUGAACGCUGGCGGCAGGCUUAACACAUGCAAGUCGAGCGGGGGAAGGUAGCUUGCUACUGGACCUAGCGGCGGACGGGUGAGUAAUGCUUAGGAAUCUGCCUAUUAGUGGGGGACAACAUCUCGAAAGGGAUGCUAAUACCGCAUACGUCCUACGGGAGAAAGCAGGGGAUCUUCGGACCUUGCGCUAAUAGAUGAGCCUAAGUCGGAUUAGCUAGUUGGUGGGGUAAAGGCCUACCAAGGCGACGAUCUGUAGCGGGUCUGAGAGGAUGAUCCGCCACACUGGGACUGAGACACGGCCCAGACUCCUACGGGAGGCAGCAGUGGGGAAUAUUGGACAAUGGGGGGAACCCUGAUCCAGCCAUGCCGCGUGUGUGAAGAAGGCCUUAUGGUUGUAAAGCACUUUAAGCGAGGAGGAGGCUACUUUAGUUAAUACCUAGAGAUAGUGGACGUUACUCGCAGAAUAAGCACCGGCUAACUCUGUGCCAGCAGCCGCGGUAAUACAGAGGGUGCGAGCGUUAAUCGGAUUUACUGGGCGUAAAGCGUGCGUAGGCGGCUUAUUAAGUCGGAUGUGAAAUCCCCGAGCUUAACUUGGGAAUUGCAUUCGAUACUGGUGAGCUAGAGUAUGGGAGAGGAUGGUAGAAUUCCAGGUGUAGCGGUGAAAUGCGUAGAGAUCUGGAGGAAUACCGAUGGCGAAGGCAGCCAUCUG